GCCAUGGCCGGAGAACGUCACUCUCCAAGGAAAAGUGUUCAAGUGCAGUUCACAGUGCAGUCGAUUAAAACCCAGUUCAAUUAGUACAGAGAAAUUUUCACUCUUGCCAAGGCAAGCAGUAUGGUACAUCCAAACAUGGAAAAGUGUAAAAAUCGUGUCCACCGAGACCAGCAGCAGUACGAGUUUCGCAAAAUGACGCCAGGGCCCACGUAGAGUUUGUCCUCGUCGGGCAUUAUUUGCUCUCGAGUUGGAAACAAAGAAACCAGACCCAGAUCCACUGGAAAGAUGUGAUUAGUCAUCGAUUUUGCUGGUCAGCGUCGGUGAAUUUCGCAAUGCGGCAGGCAGUUUCUCGAUUUUAGCUAGAAAGUGACCCCUCCUAGGCAGUCUGAGGCAGAAAUCAAGGAUAUGUCCAGGACUCCACUCUCUGAGUCGAAUGGCGAUGGCCCCGACCUGCGGAUUUUAUGAAUUGGGAUAGGAAGCCAGUUGGGCGUUGAAAGUUGAUAUCGAUCCGUGAAAAAGUCGAUACCCUGCGUGCGCAUGGGUCGGUAUAUGGGUGCUGAAAACGCACUCGACCCGAUUGCAGCGUUUUUCGAAAGCUGGCUAGGCGACCAUGACUCAGAUUACGUAUAUAUAUGUGUACAUAUCUAAGGUCUGGGUUCGCGGACCAGCCAGGGUGCUCGAUUCUGUCAGAUUGAUUGUGCGGAUUGUGUUAUAGGAACACUGGUGUAUCGACUUCUCUGCUCCACUAAGGGUGAGCGGGAGCCCUACCGAAAGGCCUUCUGUUGCUAACUAUCAUCGAACAAGUUCCAUAUCGGGCAGACAUACGUGGCAGCAUAUUGAAUCCGUAUCCGUUCAAUGACACAUCGUCUCUGGAUUAGUAAUUGAACCAACGAGGUCGACUCGCACAACCUGCCAGUUGGUUGUAAACAUUAAUUUUGUUCCUAUAUUCAGUUGUAGUCAAUACGGAAGUUAUAUAUCAACACCAACAAUGUGUCACUUAUGUUCUUAAAUAUCUUGAAACUGUUUAAAUUUUUUUGUUUUUGUACACUUCACCAAUUAAGAAUUACCUGUAUUGAUGUAAAUUAACCUGUCGAAUCACAACAAAAAUAGAAAAAAUGAAUAUCAAAAGAGCUCCUUAAAGGAAAAGCCACAGAAAAAGUGAAUAAAAAAUUCAAAAGUUCCAAAAAUAAAUCUCGAAACAUUUGCUCGUCAUAUUUUUUAUUUCACGCUUAGAUGCGAUUUCAGUUAUACCAUCGAACUUAAACGUAGCGUUACCAGAAUAGUCCCACGGAGGAAGGGCCUUAAAACCAACACGCCUAGUCUUCGUCUUACACAGAAAUUACUCUGAUGUUCUAAAACUAAAUCGAAAAAUCGGACCAAGAGUCUACACAAAAAGGAAGGGCCAGUGAUCUUUGAUAAGCGCAAAAAGUUUGUAUUGGAAAGACAAUUUGAAGGCCUAAGAGGCCAGCUUAAAAGUACGUAUAUCUCGAAUUUACAGAAAUCCCAGGUCACCAAUCUCCUAAGAAAGUUCAACGACAUUAAAACACGCUAUUAAAUUAAGAUAACUCCUGUUAGUAUUUUAAAACAAAAUUAGUUAAAAUUAAAAAAACUGAAGCCCUAACUAACAAAUUAGUUUAAAAUAAAUCUUCUCUCUCCCAAUAAAAACAAGCUAUUAAUUAAAAGUAAAAGAGGUAACAACGUUUUAGGCAGGUAUUUCCUUAUAUAUGUUUUGUAACAAUAACCCAAAAACUAGUAAAAAAUAGGAUCUUUAUUAAUUACUCAAAAUUAUCUGUCUCACAGACUCUAUAAAUGGUAUGCAAAUUAAUAUAAUUCAAAUCAAGAUUUAAUAGGUUGGGUACGUUAUGAAAGUGUUCCCAGUAAAAAGCGUGUGUUUACAAAAAGCAUAAGACCUAACAACUUGACAAGCAGGAUAACUAAACCCUUCGGUACUCUCAUCAAUGGAAUCCAAUCGCAAAAUCAUGUAGGAUCUCUUUAUCAAUUAGUCAAAAUAUUGUGUCCUAUCGACUCUAUUUUCGCAUAUAUGGUAUGCAAAUUAAUAUAUUCCAAAAUUUAUAAUAGUUAGGUAGGGUGCGUUAUAUAAGUACUCCCAAUAAAAACUGUGUGUUUAUAAGUAGUAAAAUACGUAAAAACUUGACAGGCAGGAUAACUGAACCCUUCGUUACUCGAAUAGAAUUCUACUUUUGAAAAAUAGGUAUGACCAUUAUGAAUAACUCCUAUCGACUCUAUUCUUAUAAUAAAUAGUGUGCAAAUUAAUAUACUCCAGAAUUUGUAUUAUAACAAAACUAAAUAGGUAGGGUAUGUUAUUAAAUUAUUUCCAGUAAAAAGUGUGUGCUUAUAAAAAGCAAACUUCGUAACAAAGUCACAGGCAGGAUAAGUAAAUCCUUCGGUACUCUCAUCAAUUUGUUGUAUGGUAUUCUACUUUUGAAAAAUAGGUAGGACCUUUAUGAGUUACUCGAAAUAUACUGUGUCCUACCAAUCCUAUUGUUAUGAUAAAUGGUAUUAGAAAAAAAACCAAAUAGGUAAGGUCCAUAAUUAAGGUAUUCCCUGUAAAAAGUGUGUGUUUAUAAAAAGUAAAAUACGUAACAAAGUGACAGGCAGGAUAACUGAACCCUUCGGUACUCUCUUUAAUUUCUUGUAUGGUAUUCUACUUUAAAAAAAUAGGUAGGACCUUUAUGAAUUACUCGAAAUAUACUCUGUCCUACCAAUCCUAUUGUUAUGAUAAAUGGUAUGAAUAUUAAUAUACUCCAGAAUUGGUAUUAUAACAAAACUAAAUAUGUAGGGUGCGUUAUUAAAGUAUUCCCUGUAAAAAGUGUGUGUUUAUAAAAAGUAAAAGACGUAACAAAGUGACAGGCAAACUGCAGGGUGCGUUAUUAAAGUAUUCCCUGUAAAAAGUGUGUGUUUAUAAAAAGUAAAGGACGUAACAAAGUGACAGGCAAGAUAACUGAACCCUUCGGUACUCUCAUAAAUUUCUUGUACGGUACUCUACCUUAGAAAAAUAGGUAGGAACCCUAUGAAUUACUCGAAAUAUACUCUGUCCUACCAACUCUAUUCUUAUGAUAAAUUGUAUGCAAAUUAAUAUACUCCUGAAUUGGUACUAUAACAAAACUAAAUAGGUAGGGUGCGUUAUUAAAGUAUUCCCUGUAAAAAGUGUGGGAUUGUCAAAUCUUAAUGACGUAACAACUUGACAGGCAGGAUAACUGAAUCCUUCGGUACUCUCAUCAAUUUGUUGUUGGUAUUCUACUUUUAAAAAAUAGUUGGAUCUUUAUGAAUUACUCGAAAUAUACAAUGUCCUAUCGACUCUAUUCUUAUGAUAAAUGGUAUGAAUAUUAAUAUACUCCCGAAUUGGUAUUAUAACAAAACUAAAUAGGUAGGGUGCGUUAUUAAAGUAUUCCCGGUAAAAAGUGUGGGAUUGUAAAGUCUUAAAGACGUAACAACAUGACAGGCAGGAUAACUGAACCCUUCGGUACCCUCAUCAAUUUGUUUAUGGUAUUCUACUUUUGAAAAAUAAGUAGGAACUUUAUGAAUUACCCGAAAUAUACUCUGUCCUACCAACUCUAUUCUUAUGAUAAAUGGUAUAAGUAAAGAACUAAGUAGGUAGGGUGCAUUAUUGAAGUAUUCCCUGUACAAAGUGUGGGAUUGUAAAAACUUAAAGACGUAACAACUUGGCAGGCAAAAUAACUGAACCCUUCGGUACUUUUAUCAAUUUCUUGUAUGGCAUUCUACUUUUGAAAAAUAGGUAGGACCUUUAUAAAUUACUCCAAAUAUUCUCUCUCCUCUAGACUCUCUUUUUAUGAUAAAUGGUAUGGAAAUUAAUACACUUCAGAAUUGGUAUUAGAGCAAUACUAAAUAGGUAGGGUACGUUAUGAAAGUACGACCAGUAAUAAGUGCGUGUUCAUAAAAAGUAAAAGACGUAUGAACGUAACAGGCAGGAUAACUGAACCCUUCGGUACUCUCAUCAAUUUCUUGUUUGGUAUUCUACUUUUGAAAAAUAAGUUGGACCUUUUGAAUUACUCCAAAUAUACUGUGUCCUAUCGACUCUGCUCUUAUGAUAAAUGGUAUUAAACAAAUACUUAAUAGGUAGGUUGCGAUAAUAAAGUAUUCCCUGUAAAAAGUGUGUGUUUAUAAAAAGUAAAACACGUAACAAAGUGAAAGGCAGGAUAACUGAAACCUUCGGUACUCUCAUCAAUUUCUUGUAUGGAAUUCUACUUUUAAAAAAUAUUUAGGACCUUUAUGAAAUAUUCGAAAUGUACUUUCUCCUAUCGACUCUAUUCUUAUAAUAAAUGGUAUUGAACAAAUACUAAAUAGUUAGGGUGCAAUAUUAAAGUAUUCCCUGUAAAAAGUGUUUGUUUAUAAAAAGUAAAAGACGUAACAAAGUGAAAGGCAAGAUAACUGAACCCUUCGGUACUCUCAUCAAUUUCUUGUUUGGUAUUCUACUUUCGAAAAAUAAGUUGGACCUUUUGAAUUACUCCAACUAUACUGUGUCCUAUCGACUCUGGUCUUAUGAUAAAUGGUAUUAAACAAAUACUUAAUAGGUAGGUUGCGAUAAUAAAGUAUUCCCUGUAAAAAGUGUGUGUUUAUAAAAAGUAAAACACGUAACAAAGUGAAAGGCAGGAUAACUGAACCCUUCGGUACUCUCAUCAAUUUCUUGUUUGGUAUUCUACUUUCGAAAAAUAAGUUGGACCUUUUGAAUUACUCCAAAUAUACUGUGUCCUAUCGACUCUGCUCUUAUGAUAAAUGGUAUUAAACAAAUACUUAAUAGGUAGGUUGCGAUAAUAAAGUAUUCCCUGUAAAAAGUGUGUGUUUAUCAAAAGUAAAACACGUAACAAAGUGAAAGGCAAGAUAACUGAACCCUUCGGUACUCUCAUUAAUUUCUUGUAUGGUAUUGUGCUUUCGAAAAAUAGGUAGGACCUAUUGAAUUACUCGAAAUAUACUCUGUCCUACCAACUCUAUUCUUAUGAUAAAUGGUAUUCGAAAAAAAUAGAAUAGGUAGGAUGCGUUAUUAAAGUAUUUCCUGUAAAAAGUGUGUGUUUAUAAAAAGUAAAAGGCGUAACAAAGUGACAGGCAGGAUAACUGAACCCUUCCGUACUCUCAUACAUUUAUUGUAAGGUAUUCUGCUUUUGAACAAGAAAGGAAGGUAAUUUCGGCAAGCCGAAAUUUGUAUACCCUUGCAGUUAUAAGAAAUAAUCAACUUUAGGAACACCAUCUUAAAUUUUUAAUGAUUGUUGAUGUUAGGUGAAAUUAAACAGAAUUAUUUCAUUUUUUCCCUAACCCUUUUUUUUGACAGCUAUGUAUUAAAGUCGUCCGUUUUUAUUAAAUUUAAUUCAAAAAUUAUAAAAACAUAAAAACUGAUAUUUCCAGUAUUAUAAGAUAAUUUGUUAAAAAACACCAACGCUAUAAGCUGUUUUACAUUAUUUUCCAAUUCAUGUUUCGAUCGUCCCUAUGGCAGCUAUAUAAUACAGUCUUCCGAUUUUGUAAAUUAUUAAAAUUCAGAACUAACCAAAAAAAUGUUAUUUCCAAGCUUAUGAGGUUAUAUGUUAAAAACACGAGAAAUAUAAUUUUUACAAUUUUUUUUUUACCGAUUUUUCCUAUGGAAGCUAUAAGAUAUGGUAUAAGACGUAACAACGUAACAGGCAGGAUAACUGAACCCUUCGGUAGGACGCGCUAUGAAAGUAUUCCCAGCAAACAUUUUACGCUUUACAAAAAGUAAAAGACGUAACAACUUAACAGACAGUAUAACUGAACCUUUGUGUAUUCUCAUCAACUUCUUGUAUGGUAUUCUACUUUUGAAAAAUAGGUAGGACCUUUAUGAAUUACUCCAGAACUGGUACUUUAACAAAACUAAAUAAAUAGGAUGAUUACUGAAAGUAUUCCCAGUAAAAAAAGUGUGUUUAUAAAAAGUAAAAGACCGAUCAACGUGACAGUCAGGAUAACUGAACCCUUCGGUACUCUGAUCAAUGUCUUAUAUGGUAUUAUAUGGUAUUCUACAUUUGAAAAAUAGGAAUGACCUUUAUGAAUUACUCCAUAUAUACUUUGUCCUAUCGACUCUAUUCUUAUGAUAAAUGGUAUGGAAAUUAAUAUACUCCAGAAUUGAUAUAAGAAUAAAACUAAAUAGGAAGGGUACGUUAUUAAAGUAAAAAGUGUCUGUUUAUAAAAAGUAAAAGACUUAGAAACGUGACAGGCAGGAUAACUGGAACCCUUAGGUACUCUCAUCAAUUUCUUGUAUGGUAUUCUACUACGAAAAAUAAGUUGGACCUUUCGAAUUACUCCACAUAUACUCUGUCCUACAAACAUUAUUCUUAUGAUAAAUGGUAUUAGAACAAAACUAAACUAUUCUUAUUGUAAAUUGUAUGCAAAUUAAUAUGCUCCUGAAUUGGUAUUAUAUCAAAACUAAAUAAAUUUCUUGUAUGGUAUUGUGCUUUCGAAAAAUAAGUAGGACCUUUUAAUUUACUCGAAAUAUACUCUGUCCUACCAACUCUAUUCUUAUGAUAAAUUGUAUGCAAAUUAAUAUACUCCUGAAUUGGUACUAUAACAAAACUAAAUAGGUAGGGUGCGUUAUUAAAGUAUUCCCUGUAAAAAGUGUGGGAUUGUCAAAUCUUAAUUACGUAACAACUUGUCAGGCAGGAUAACUGAACCCUUCGGUACUCUCAUCAAUUUGUUGUUGGUAUUCUACUUUUAAAAAAUAGUUGGAUCUUUAUGAAUUACUCGAAAUAUACAAUGUCCUAUCGACUCUAUUCUUAUGAUAAAUGGUAUGAAUAUUAAUAAACUCCCGAAUUGGUAUUAUAACAAAACUAAAUAGGUAGGGUGCGUUAUUAAAGUUUUCCCUGUAAAAAGUGUGGGAUUGUAAAAAUUUAAAGACUUAACAACUUGAUAGGCAAAAUAACUGAACCCUUCGGUACUCUCAUUAAUUUCUUGUAUGGUAUUCUACUUUUGAAAAAUAGGUAGGACCUUUAUAAAUUACUCCAAAUAAAUUCUUAUUCAAAUUCAAAUUCUUAUGAUAAAUAGUAUGAAUAUUAAUAUACUCCAGAAUUGGUAUAUUAACAAAACUAAAUAUGUAGGGUGCGUUAUUAAAUUAUUCCCUGUAGAAAGUGUGUGUUUAUAAAAAGCAAAAAGGCGUAACAAAGUGACAGGCAGGAUAAGUAAACCCUUCGGUACUCUUAUAAAUUUCUUGUACGGUACUCUACCUUAGAAAAAUAGGUAGGAACUCUAUGAAUUACUCGAAAUAUACUCUGUCCUACCAACUCUAUUCUUAUGAUAAAUUGUAUGCAAAUUAAUAUACUCCUGAAUUGGUACUAUAACAAAACUAAAUAGGUAGGGUGCGUUAUUAAAGUAUUCCCUGUAGAAAGUGUGGGAUUGUCAAAUCUUAAUGACGUAACAACUUGACAGGCAGGAUAACUGAACCCUUCGGUACUCUCAUCAAUUUGUUUUUGGUAUUCUACUUUUAAAAAAUAGUUGGACCUUUAUGAAUUACUCGAAAUAUACAAUGUCCUAUCGACUCUAUUCUUAUGAUAAAUGUUAUUAGAAAAAAAUUAAAUAGGUGGGGUGCAUUAUUGAAGUAUUUCCUGUAAAAAGUUUGGGAUUGUAAAAACUUAAAGACGUAACAAAUUGGCAGGCAAAAUAACUGAACCCUUCGGUACUUUCAUCAAUUUCUUGUAAGGCAUUCUACUUUUGAAAAAUAGGUAGGACCUUUAGUGUGUGUUUAUAAAAAGUAAAAGACUUAGAAACGUGACAGGCAGGAUAACUGGAACCCUUAGGUACUCUCAUUAAUUUCUUGUAUGGUAUUGUGCUUUCGAAAAUAAGGUAGGACCUUUUGAAUUACUCGAAAUAUACUCUGUCCUACCAAUUCUAUUCUUAUGAUAAAUGGUAUUAGAAAAAAAUAAAUAGGUAGGGUGCAUUAUUAAAGUGUUCCCUGUAAAAAGUGUUGGAUUGUAAAAACUUAAAGACGUAAGAACUUGACAGGCAGGACAACUGAACCCUUCGGUACUCUCAUCAAUUACUCGAAAUAUACUCUGUCCUACCAACUCUAUUCUUAUGAUAAAUGGUAUUAGGAAAAAACUAAGUAGGUAGGGUGCAUUAUUAAAGUAUUCCCAGUACAAAGUGUGGGAUUGUAAAAACUUAAAGAAUUAACAACUUGGCAGGCAAUAUCACUGAACCCUUUUACUUUCAUCAAUUUCUUUUAUGGCAUUCUACUUUUGAAAAAUAGGUAGGACCUUUAUAAAUUACUCCACAUAUACUCUGUCCUAUCGACUCUAAUAUGAUAAAUGGUAAUAGAAAAAAACUAAAUAGGGAGGGUGCAUUAUUAAGGUAUUCCCUAUACAAAGUGUGUGUUAAUAAAAAGUAAAAAGACGUAACAAAGUGACAGGCAGGAUAACUGAACCCUUCGGUACUCUCAUCAAUUUCUUGUAUGGUAUUCUACUUUUGAAAAAUAGGUAGGACCUUUAUGAAAACGUUACGUACGUUAUUAAAGUAAAAAGUGUGUGUUUAUAAAAAGUAAAAGACUUAGAAACGUGACAGGCAGGAUAACUGAAACCCUUAGGUACUCUCAUUAAUUUAUUGUAUGGUAUUGUGCUUUCGAAAAUUAAGAAGGACCUUUUGAAUUACUCGAAAUAUACUCUGUCCUACCAACUCUAUUCUUAUGAUAAAUGGUAUUAGAAAAAAACUAAGUAGGUAGGGUGCAUUAUUAAAGUAUUCCCUGUAAAAAGUGUGGGAUUGUAAAAACUUAAAGACGUAAGAACUUGACAGGCAGGACAACUGAACCCUUCGGUACUCUCAUCAAUUUGUUGUAUGGUAUUCUACUUUUGAAAAAUAGGUAGGAAUUUUAUGAAUUACCCGAAAUAUACUCUGUCCUACCAACUCUAUUCUUCUGAUAAAUGGUAUAAGAAAAAAACUAAGUAGGUAGGGUGCAUUAUUAAAGUAUUCCCAGUACAAAGUGUGGGAUUGUAAAAACUUAAAGACGUAAGAACUUGACAGGCAGGACAACUGAACCCUUCGGUACUCUCAUCAAUUUGUUGUAUGGUAUUCUACUUUUGAAAAAUUGGUAGGACCUUUAUAAAUUACUCCAAAUAUUCUCUGUCCUCUAGACUCUCUUCUUAUGAUAAAUGGUAUGGAAAUUAAUAUACUCCAGAAUUGGUAUUAAAGCAAUACUAAAUAGGUAGGGUACGUUAUGAAAGUACGACCAGUAAUAAGUGUGUGUUCAUAAAAAGUAAAAGACGUAUGAACGAAACAGGCAGGAUAACUGAACCAUUCGGUACUCUCAUCAAUUUCUUGUUUGGUAUUCUACUUUCGAAAAAUAAGUUGGACCUUUUGAAUUACUCCAAAUAUACUGUGUCCUAUCGACUCUGCUCUCUUCUUAUGAUAAAUGGUAUGGAAAUUAAUAUACUCCAGAAUUGGUAUUAAAGCAAUACUAAAUAGGUAGGGUACGUUAUGAAAGUACGACCAGUAAUAAGUGUGUGUUCAUAAAAAGUAAAAGACGUAUGAACGAAACAGGCAGGAUAACUGAACCCUUCGGUACUCUCAUCAAUUUCUUGUUUGGUAUUCUACUUUUGAAAAAUAAGUUGGACCUUUUGAAUUACUCCAAAUAUACUGUGUCCUAUCGACUCUGCUCUUAUGAUAAAUGGUAUUAAACAAAUACUUAAUAGGUAGGUUGCGAUAAUAAAGUAUUCCCUGUAAAAAGUGUGUGUUUAUAAAAAGUAAAACACGUAACAAAGUGAAAGGCAGGAUAACUGAAACCUUCGGUACUCUCAUCAAUUUCUUGUAUGGAAUUCUACUUUUAAAAAAUAUUUAGGACCUUUAUGAAAUAUUCGAAAUGUACUUUCUCCUAUCGACUCUAUUCUUAUAAUAAAUGGUAUUGAACAAAUACUAAAUAGGUAGGUUGCGAUAAUAAAGUAUUCCCUGUAAAAAGUGUGUGUUUAUAAAAAGUAAAACACGUAACAAAGUGAAAGGCAGGAUAACUGAAACGUUCGGUACUCUCAUCAAUUUCUUGUAUGGAAUUCUACUUUUAAAAAAUAUUUAGGACCUUUAUGAAAUAUUCGAAAUGUACUUUCUCCUAUCGACUCUAUUCUUAUGAUAAAUGGUAUUGAACAAAUACUAAAUAGGUAGGGUGCAAUAUUAAAGUAUUCCCUGUAAAAGUGUUUGUUUAUAAAAAGUAAAAGACGUAACAAAGUGAAAGGCAAGAUAACUGAACCCUUCGGUACUCUCAUUAAUUUCUUGUAUGGUAUUGUGCUUUCGAAAAAUAGGUAGGACCUAUUGAAUUACUCGAAAUAUACUCUGUCCUACCAACUCUAUUCUUAUGAUAAAUGGUAUUUGAAAAAAAUAGAAUAGGUAGGAUGCGUUAUUAAAGUAUUUCCUGUAAAAAGUGUGUGUUUAUAAAAAGUAAAAAGCGUAACAAAGUGACAGGCAGGAUAACUGAACCCUUCCGUACUCUCAUAAAUUUAUUGUAAGGUAUUCUGCUUUUGAACAAGAAAGGAAGGUAAUUUCGGCAAGCCGAAAUUUGUAUACCCUUGCAGUUAUAAGAAAUAAUCAACUUUAGGAACACCAUCUUAAAUUUUUAAUGAUUGUUGAUGUUAGGUGAAAUUAAACAGAAUUAUUUCAUUUUUUCCCUAACCCUUUUUUUUGACAGCUAUAUAUUAAAGUCGUCCGUUUUCAUUAAAUUUAAUUCAAAAAUUAUAAAAACAUAAAAACUGAUAUUUCCAAUAUUAUAAGAUAAUUUGUCAAAAAACACCAACGCUAUAAGCUGUUUUACAUUAUUUUCCAAUUCAUGUUUCGAUCGUCCCUAUGGCAGCUAUAUAAUACAGUCUUCCGAUUUUGUAAAUUAUUAAAAUUCAGAACUAACCAAAAAAAUGUUAUUUCCAAGCUUAUGAGGUUAUAUGUUAAAAACACGAGAAAUAUAAUUUUUUACAAUUUUUUUUUUACCGAUUUUUCCUAUGGAUGCUAUAAGAUAUGGUAUAAGACGUAACAACGUAACAGGCAGGAUAACUGAACCCUUCGGUAGGACGCGCUAUGAAAGUAUUCCCAGCAAACAUUUUACGCUUUACAAAAAGUAAAAGACGUAACAACUUAACAGACAGUAUAACUGAACCUUUGUGUAUUCUCAUCAACUUCUUGUAUGGUAUUCUACUUUUGAAAAAUAGGUAGGACCUUUAUGAAUUACUCCAGAACUGGUACUUUAACAAAACUAAAUAAAUAGGAUGAUUACUGAAAGUAUUCCCAGUAAAAAAAGUGUGUUUAUAAAAAGUGAAAGACCGAACAACGUGACAGGCAGGAUAACUUAACCCUUCGGUACUCUCAUAAAUGUCUUAUAUGGUAUUCUACUUUUGACCAAUAGGUAGGACCUUUAUGAAUUACUCCACAUAUACUCUGUCCUAUCGACUCUAAUAACAUGAUAAAUGGUAAUACAAAAAAACUAAAUAGGUAGGGUGCAUUAUUAAGGCAUUCCCUAUACAAAGUGUGUGUUUAUAAAAAGUAAAGACGUAACAAAGUGACAGGCAGGAUAACUGAAACCUUCGGUACUCUCAUCAAUUUCUUGUAUGGAAUUCUACUUUUAAAAAAUAUUUAGGACCUUUAUGAAAUAUUCGAAAUGUACUUUCUCCUAUCGACUCUAUUCUUAUGAUAAAUGGUAUUGAACAAAUACUAAAUAGGUAGGGUGCAAUAAUAAAGUAUUCCCUGUAAAAAGUGUGUGUUUAUAAAAAGUAAAACACGUAACAAAGUGAAAGGCAGGAUAACUGAAACCUUCGGUACUCUCAUCAAUUUCUUGUAUGGAAUUCUACUUUUAAAAAAUAUUUAGGACCUUUAUGAAAUAUUCGAAAUGUACUUUCUCCUAUCGACUCUAUUCUUAUGAUAAAUGGUAUUGAACAAAUACUAAAUAGGUAGGGUGCAAUAUUAAAGUAUUCCCUGUAAAAAGUGUUUGUUUAUAAAAAGUAAAAGACGUAACAAAGUGAAAGGCAAGAUAACUGAACCCUUCGGUACUCUCAUUAAUUUCUUGUAUGGUAUUGUGCUUUCGAAAAAUAGGUAGGACCUUUUGAAUUACUCGAAAUAUACUCUGUCCUACCAACUCUAUUCUUAUGAUAAAUGGUAUUAGAAAAAAAUAGAAUAGGUAGGAUGCGUUAUUAAAGUAUUUCCUGUAAAAAGUGUGUGUUUAUAAAAAGUAAAAGACGUAACAAAGUGACAGGCAGGCUAACUCUAACCGCUUUUUUUUGACAGCUAUAUAUUAAAGUCGUUAUUUUUUAUUAAAUUUAAUUCAAAAAUUAUAAAAAUAUAAUAAUUGAUAUUCCCAAUAUUAUAAGAUAAUGUGUCAAAAAACACCAACGCUUUAAGUUGUUUUACAUUAUUUUCCUAUUCAUUAUUCGAUCGUCCCUAUGACAGCUACAUGAUACAGUAGUCCAAUUUUAAUAAAUGAAAUUAAAAACUCAGAACUAUUUAUUUCCAAAAUUGUUCAAAUAUUUUCUCGCCAACUUUUUGAUCGUUCCUAUGGCAGAUAUAUAAUACAGUCUUCCGAUUUUGUAAAUUAUUAAGCACAAAAUUCAGAACUAAACAAAAAAUGUUAUUAAUUUUUUCCAAAUUUUUUUUACCGAUUAUUCCUAUGGGAGCUAUAAGAUAUUGUAAAAGACGUAACAACGUAACAGGCAGGAUAACUGAACCCUUCGGUAGGACGCGCUAUGAAAGUAUUCCCAGCAAACAUUUUACGCUUUACAAAAAGUAAAAGACGUAACAACUUAACAGGCAGUAUAACUGAACCUUUGGGUAUUCUCAUCAACUUCUUGUAUGGUAUUCUACUUUUGAAAAAUAGGUAGGACCUUUAUGAAUUACUCCAGGACUAGUACUUUAACAAAACUAAAUAAAUAGGAUGAUUACUGAAAGUAUUCCCAGUAAAAAAAGUGUGUUUAUAAAAAGUAAAAGACCGAUCAACGUGACAGUCAGGAUAACUGAACCCUUCGGUACUCUGAUCAAUGUCUUAUAUGGUAUUAUAUGGUAUUCUACAUUUGAAAAAUAGGAAUGACCUUUAUGAAUUACUCCAUAUAUACUCUGUCCUAUCGACUCUAUUCUUAUGAUAAAUGCUAUAAAAAUUAAUAUACUCCAGAAUUGAUAUAAGAAUAAAACUAAAUAGGAAGGGUACGUUAUUAAAGUAAAAAGUGUCUGUUUAUAAAAAGUAAAAGACUUAGAAUCGUGACAGGCAGGAUAACUGGAACCCUUAGGUACUCUCAUCAAUUUCUUGUAUGGUAUUCUACUACGAAAAAUAAGUUGGACCUUUCGAAUUACUCCACAUAUACUCUGUCCUACCAACAUUAUUCUUAUGAUAAAUGGUAUUAGAACAAAACUGAACUAUUCCUAUUGUAAAUUGUAUGCAAAUUAAUAUGCUGCUGAAUUGGUAUUAUAUCAAAACUAAAUAAAUUUCUUGUAUGGUAUUGUGCUUUCGAAAAAUAAGUAGGACCUUUUAAUUUACUCGAAAUAUACUCUGUCCUACCAACUCAAUUCUUAUGAUAAAUGGUAUUAAAAAAAACUAAAUAGGUAGGGUGCAUUAUUAAAGUAUUCCCUGUACAAAGUGUGGAAUUGUAAAAACUUAAAGACGUAAGAACUUGACAGGCAGGACAACUGAACCCUUCGGUACUCUCAUCAAUUUGUUGUAUGGUAUUCUACUUUUGAAAAAUAGGUAGGAACUUUAUGAAUUACUCGAAAUAUACUCUGUCCUACCAACUCUAUUCUUAUGAUAAAUGGUAUUAGAAAAAAAUAAAUAGGUAGGGUGCAUUAUUAAAGUAUUCCCUGUAAAAAGUGUGGGAUUGUAAAAACUUAAAGACCUAAGAACUUGACAGGCAGGACAACUGAACCCUUCGGUACUCUCAUCAAUUUGUUGUAUGGUAUUCUACUUUUGAAAAAUAGGUAGGAACUUUAUGAAUUACUCGAAAUAUACUCUGUCCUACCAACAAUAUUCUUAUGAUAAAUGGUAUAAGAAAAAAACUAAGUAGGUAGGGUGCAUUAUUAAAGUAUUCCCUGUACAAAGUGUGGGAUUGUAAAAACUUAAAGACGUAAGAACUUGACAGGCAGGACAACUAAACCCUUCGGUACUCUCAUCAAUUUGUUGAAUGGUAUUCUACUUUUGAAAAAUAGGUAGGAACUUUAUGAAUUACUCGAAAUAUACUCUGUCCUACCAACAAUAUUCUUAUGAUAAAUGGUAUAAGAAAAAAACUAAGUAGGUAGGGUGCAUUAUUAAAAUAUUCCCUGUAAAAAGUGUGGGAUUGUAAAAACUUAAAGACGUAAGAACUUGACAGGCAGGAUAACUGAACCCUUCGGUACUCUCAUCAAUUUGUUUAUGGUAUUCUACUUUUGAAAAAUAAGUAGGACCUUUAUAAAUUACUCCAAAUAUACAAUAUCCUAUCGAUAAGAUUAGAUUAUGGUAAAUGGUUUUCAAAAUGGUUUUCAGAGUGCUAUAUUGUAUUCCCAUUAACAAGUGUGUGUUUAUAAAAAGUAAUAGACGUAACUGGCAGAAUAACUGAACCCUUCGGUACUUAUAAAUGCAAUGCAAAUUACUAUACAUUAGAAUUGGUAUUAAAACAAAACUGACCAUGUAGGGUACGUUAUUAAAGUAUUCCCAGUAAAAAGUGUGUGUUUGUAAAAAGUAAUAGUCGUAAAAACAUGACAGGCAGGAUAACUGAACCCUUCGGUACUCUCAUCAAUUCUAUUUGCGAAAAAUAGGCAGGCCCUUAUGAAUUACUCGAUAUAUUCUCUGUCCUAUCGACUCUAUUCUUAUGAUAAAUGGUAUGCAAACUAAUUUAAUCCAGAACUGUUGUUAGAACAUAAACAACAAAAUGGGGUGGCAUCUUUAUCAAUUACUCCGAAUGUUAUCAUUCUUAUGAAUCUAAUCCAAAUGGGUAAUCAAGCAAGAAAGAAAGAUAUCGUCGGCAAGGCAAAUUUUUUUAUUCGUGGUAAAAUUGUGUGAACAAAACUUUUUGAUUUUUAGAAUUAGAAUUAUUACUACCGUAUUUGUUUGCUAAAUCAAAGUAAAUCUUUUUAUUAUUUUAGAAUAAUUAUUCCUAUGACAGACUAUAAUUUUAGAAUUCAAAUAAUUUUAUUCAAAAUUAUAAAAUAUUAGUAGAAUAACUAUCGCAGUAUCAACAAUAUAUAACAUUUUUUUGUUUAUAAAUACUCCUAUGGGACCUGUGAAUAUAGUUGUCCAAGAUAGAUCGUUCCGACCUUUAUGCUUCCUGCAAUAGAAGUAAGACUUUUGGAAUUUUGUAUUCCAAUAGCUUUAGAUUGCUUAGAAACGGUCAGACGUACAUGCGCUCAGGCAAAGUGAUCAUGAUUAUAUACUUAAUGGGGCCAGAAACGGUCCCUUCAAUGCGUCGCAAACUUGUGACUGAAAUUAUUGUACCUUCUGCAGGGGUAUAACAAUUUUAUAAAUAGAAGGCGUUCCAAGUAAAAACUGAGUGUUUAUGAAAAGCUCUAAAAGUAUUUCGUUUAUUUUAAUUAAACAUAUUUACGAAUGUUAUGAAACAAAUUAUCACGAAUUCAUUUAUUGAAAUUUUUAAUUUUUAAAGAAUAACACAAUUAUUUGAGAUACGCCACUGUUUAAAAAAAGGUUUAUACCAAAAUUGAAAACGAAAUAGAAAAGUUAUUUGAAUUCUUAAAUUCAUUUUUACGAACUCUUUGAAAGUAAGAACUCCACAUCAAGCUAAACUUGGAGAAGUGAAAUCUGGAAAUGCUUUUAAAACAGGCUUGUGUUGAAUUAACACAAUUAAAGUAAACUUAUAUACUUUGCGGAUCUAAAAAUAAAGACAAAUUAUUUGAAAACAAGCUUUACGAAAGAAAGCGCUGAAAAUCUUUCUGAGAUAAGGAAAACAUUUGCGCUGCAAACUCGGAUUCAAUAAUUUCUCUCGCGAAGCAUAAACCUAAAAUACUUAAAACAUAAAGAAAAAUGGUCAUUGAACACAGAAAUACCUCCAAUUACUAAAAUCAAAUAUUUAAUUAAAAUAACAACCCCGAAGAAUCGUUCCAAGUAUUUACUAUUUUUACAAUUACCUAAACCCAAGUAGAAACAGAUACAUAACAUUGACUCAUGGAUUUUAUGGUAAUUUUGCUUUCUAAGAUACAUUAUCAGGAACAAAAAUGUUGUACCACAUUUUAAAUUCGUAUGUAUUUAUAUGGAUAUGGAUUCAAAACCAAAAUAUGCAUUUUAUUAAUAUAUAGAGACAACGAUACAUUUUAAAUAAAUUAUUUUAUUUAUUUUUGAACUAUGAUUGCGAAAAAAGGAAUCAUAUAUUUCUCGCGUUCUAUCAAAAGUAUCGGAGAUGCUUCCGUGUAUAAUUCGUCAAAAAUAAACCAUUUCAACAAUUAAAUCCUACGCAAGUAUUUUGAGAAUCAACUAAAAAUGUCUUAAAUCGAAGCCAAUGUGGUCACAUGUAAAUUAUACAAAAUAUACAGAUAUACAUUUACAAAGUUCCUUUUCUUAAGGAAUAACCAAUCCUUAAAAUAUUAGUUCAUAUACAUUUUUAUUUAAUAAUAAUAAUUUAAUAAUCAAGUAUGAGCACCAAAAAAAUAAUUUGGUACUUUGUCGUCUUAAAUAAAAAUGAAUUUUUUUUAAUCUCAUACAAGCGCAGUAUUUUACUUAUUUUAAUAGUUAGUUAAACUAUACAGAUAGAAAUUCGUUUAUCAAUAAUUCUAUUUAAAUUAAUAUUAAUUAAUUUAAUUAAUCAUUUAUAUUUUUUUCAUUUUGCACGACAUUAAAUUAUUACAAUUUAAUACAAAUUAGUUUAUGGCCUUCAAUUGGGAUUCCCUGUUUUUAAAUUUUAUUCCGAAAAUAUUUUAUUUCGUUUGCAAAAAAACAUACAAAUCACAUUUUAAAUUAACUUUUUUUAAAAUCAAACAAUUUUAUAAAUUAUAAAAUAAAUAAUUGACUUGCUGUAAAGGUUGCAUAUUCAUGGGAUGAUAAAUAUUUGCUAAAUAAUUUUUAGCUAAAGCAUCGGAAUUGCAUCAAAUAUCUAAUUAUUGACUAAGUACAGAAGACCUACGAAAAUACAUAAAACUUAUAUGAAAAUAAAACUAUAUUUAAAAAUACUAACUAAUUUUACAAUGGAAAUAUAGUAUUUUUUACAAAAUGCCAGAUUUUUGACUUAUUUCAAAGCAUACAUUGCUGCCCUAUUCUUAUAUUUCGUCUAUAAAACAUUUUUAUUUGGACUAAAGAAAACCGCAGUCUUCUAUACUAUCAUUAUAAUCCGAUAAAUAUGGAUUAUUAAAUUUGUAAAAAAAUGUUUACCAAACGGAAACCAGAAAAAGCCCUGAUGCCGUGUAAGGGAAAAGACGGUUUGACGAGCUUAAACAUUAAAAAACUUCUCAAACAAAAAUGUUUAUUUGAUACGUCUAAAAUACCAAAUUCCAAUUGAGAUUAUACAAUUAACGAUAUUUAAUCAUAAACUAAACCAACAAAGAACACACAAGGAAGAUAAACCAUAACAUUGAACAAAACCUGAACAAGGAUUUGGUUUACGACAACUCAACGAUUUUAUCUUCACUGCCCUCUCCGGAAUGCAUCAUCAUAAGGAAAUAAUACAUUAAUAAUUCUACGCAGCCGUAAUUAUGUUUGGAUUCUUCUAUAAACAAAAACAAAGUCGCAGCAAUAAACUCUUUUAGCGUUUUGUUGAGUUGCAAUUAAAGCGAUUGUUAAAUUUGAUUUCUAAAUUCCUCACCAACAGCUAUUGUGCCACUCUGAAAGCGAUACUAGAAUAUAAUUCAGUAGUGCUAGCUAUUUUUGCUCUUUUUAAAAUGCAAAUGGGAACCAUGCUUUUAAAAAAAAAGAGGUAGAAAUCAUCUUAAAAAACAUGCACAACCACCUUGACUCACCACGAGAAAAGGACCACCUUUCAGAAAAUGGGAAACGUUUAUAAGGAAUGAAUGUGAAUAUGAUUGUUUAUUUUUGGUUUCAGCUUACCAGUGAUCUAUAUGUAUGUGGCAUAUCCUAUUGAAUGAGCUAGAUACUGGUUGAUUACUUGGUGUGCCUUACAAAUUGCUUAUCCACAAUUACUUUCUUGUUUGCACGAAAUUUUUGUAAAGUAUAAGUACCUAAUUUGUGGAGUCUUAAGGAUAAUAUUAAAAAGCGAGAAGAUUAUUCAUCAAAAGCUUGGGCUUUCACAUUAAGCAAAUAAAUAUUUAACAGCAUCUUGGAAUAUCCCUUGGUAUAUAUACAUUUCAUAACCUGAAUACUUCCACAUUUCAUAAAUUGUCGUCAGCUGUUGAAUUUUUACAACAUCUAAUAUACUGUACACUUUUGUGAUUUUGGAAUAUAGCCCUUUAUCCCAAAACACUAAAAAUGUUAAAAAUAUAUUUUAAUUUGUGUUCAAAUUGUUAACUCUUUGUUAACUAUUUACAAAAGUUUUAUUCGAGACCAAGUUUUCUAAUGUUCUUAAAUAACCAAAUUGACUAUAACACAUUUUAGUUAAAUUAUUGGACUCAUGAUAUAGGAAUACAUUUAUUUAAUUAUUUGUUUCAAAUAUUUAUUCACUAUAAAAAUGACGGCAUAUAUUACUUAACAAGUCGAAUUUGGGCUAUAUGUGCUUUGAAUAUUCGUUCCCCAGCGUUGAAAUAAAUAACUAACAAUGCUUAGUGUAACUACUACUAGAUUGCAAGACUUUCAUAAUCCUAUGAAUAAAUUUUGUAGUUUAUUAUCCACCAAACUAUCCAUUUAAGGUUUAUAUUAACGUCCUCUGCCUCUGAUGCUUACAUACAUAAGUGCUUGAAUUUGCCGGUUGUUUUCCACUAGUUUAUAGUAUUCACUCAGUAUUGUAUGGAUGUGGGCUCAAUACUUAUUUUCCAAAUAUUAUACAACACGAAUUAAUUGCAAAUAAAUAAUUAUAUUAUAUCUCGUUUUUCUCUCAACUUCCAAAAACUUUACAUCUUUGGCAAACCAUAAUCUAUUAUUUUCACCAGUUUUUUGUUCUUUAUUAUAUUUUUCCGGAAUUUAUACUUGAUCAUUUUUAUUUAAUAGAGUUGCGAUCUCGAACAACCUUAAGAACUUCACACCCUUUCACGUCCUUUUCGUACGAAUAAAUAAAGCGUCAGGUUUUCGGGUGAGGUUUCUGAUGCUUUGUCUCUUACCUUUUUACAUCCCUUUACAUGAAUCCCCCAUCUUGGUAUUGCAAAUACCACAAAAAACCUCACCCACCAAAUAUAUGAACAAAGAGAAAAAAUUUCAAUAAGUACUGUGACAAUAGUCAUAUCAACAAAGAUGUCUACGCCUAUACGAAGGAUGGACUAAUACUCCAAGGAUGUUACUACUUUCCCAAAACUUGAGACUGUGACUCCAAGGAUGCUGUCACUAACCCUCGGAAGGUAUAGAACCGAUCACAUAUUAAAAAUAAAUAUACAUAUGUGAAAGUAUAGUAUAGAAUUAUAUAUUAAAAAUAAAGAUACAUAAAUGAUAAAGAUAAUAAAUGAAAUGAAAAUAGUAUUAGCUGUAUAAUUAAAUACUUUGCUACAUGUUUGUAGUAUUCUAAAUUAUAGUUAAGGUACAACCCCAUGAAGAGAUGUUACCUGAUUUGGAUUCUACUGAUGACAAACUGCUCUGCCAGAGUUUAACUAAACAGCUAGAGGAACCACUCGUAAUAACUGUCCUCAACUUCUUCAAAGCAAAAACUUAAAUAAAUUUUACUUAUUAUAACUGCACUCUGCUAAAUAAAUAAAAUAGCUUGAAAGCAUACUUUUUUUGCGAA